rnacentral:misc_RNA from 1 species
UAAAAAAUAUCGUUGCAUCUUUUUGGUGUUGCGGAUCUGGGUAAUCCGGUUUUAAGUCGGUUACCUAAAAUUAAGGAUUAUAAUGUGAUACGUACUAAGAUAAAGUCGUUAAUCAUUAAAACUUAAUAUAUAUUACCUCUAAUUCUUUUCAGUUGGUAGUGUAUAUAAUUUCUGA